CCUACGGGGGGCAGCAGUGAGGAAUAUUGGUCAAUGGACGAGAGUCUGAACCAGCCAAGUAGCGUGAAGGAUGACUGCCCUAUGGGUUGUAAACUUCUUUUAUAUGGGAAUAAAAUGUUCCACGUGUGGGAUUUUGUAUGUACCAUAUGAAUAAGGAUCGGCUACCUCCGUGCCAGCAGCCGCGGUAAUACGGAGGAUCCGAGCGUUAUCCGGAUUUAUUGGGUUUAAAGGGAGCGUAGGUGGAUUGUUAAGUCAGUUGUGAAAGUUUGCGGCUCAACCGUAAAAUUGCAGUUGAAACUGGCAGUCUUGAGUACAGUAGAGGUGGGCGGAAUUCGUGGUGUAGCGGUGAAAUGCUUAGAUAUCACGAAGAACUCCGAUUGCGAAGGCAGUUCACUGGACUGCAACUGACACUGAGGCUCGAAAGUGUGGGUAUCAAACAGGAUUAGAUACCCUUGUAGUC
rnacentral:rRNA from 1 species